GCUCCCACAAGAGUGAAGUGCAGGGGCUUUGGGAUGGUGAGGAAAAUAAAGCCCAUACACUUUGACCCUUUAGGAGAG
rnacentral:pre_miRNA from 1 species